AGUGGAGGAACAGAGGGGCAGCAGCCUCCCGUGCGGCUCAGAGGGAGGCAGGUGCAGCACUGUCCACCCCGCCUGCCCCGCAGCCUCUCCGCGGAGCCUGCCUCGCCUCACGGUCUCCAAGUGGGCAAGGCCGAGCACACGGUGGGUGUCCACUGACACCUCCCUGGCUUCAUGUCACCCGACAUGGUGGGAGGUGGGGGAGGGAGCUGUGGUCUGUCUGUGCCCCACCCCGAGAAAUGCGCAGGUUGGAGAGGAUGAGGGGCCUCCGGGCGGUGGUCAGGUGCUGAGGGUGGGACCCCCACGAAUGGGAGCAGUGCCCAUCCACAGGAGACCCCAGGAAGACCCCCCGCCACCGUGUGCGGACGCGGAGAAGGUGCUGCCUGCACACCGGAAGCAGGUCCUGGCCGCACCGGAAUGUGCCGGCUCCUUGCCUUGGAUUCCCGGCUCCACGACGGCGAGGGGCAGGGUCUGCCGGUUUAUGGCUGCACGGAGGGUGUUGCCAAACAGGGAACCACGCUCAGCGCACAGUAGGCCCUCUCCAAGCCCUCACCCAGCGAGCACUGAGCCAGAGGGUGGGAGGGACUCAGAGCAAAGUGCUGGACUCGGCGAAAUGACAGAGCCUGUGCUGGGGCCGGGAGGAAGUGCCUUGUUGGAAACGCCUUGGAACCCGGAGGGGAGCCACUGGUACCACACCUGCCAGCAGAGCUAUGACACCUGCAGCCCGGCCUCAAGGCCAGCCCAGCCCAGCCCCACACCUGCCAGCCCAGCCCUGCACCUGCCAGCCCAGCCCUGCACCUGCCAGCCCUGCCCAGCCCCCGCACCUGCCAGCCCAGCUAUGACACCUGCAGCCCGGCCUCAACGCCAGCCCAGCCCUGCACCUGCCAGCCCUGCCCCCACACCUGCCAGUCCAGCUAUGACACCUGCCAGCCCUGCCCCCACACCUGCCAGCCCAGCUAUGACACCUGCCAGCCCAGCCCAGCCCAGCCCUGCACCUGCCAGCCCCACACCUGCCAGCCCAGCCCUGCACCUGCCAGCCCCACACCUGCCAGCCCAGCCCUGAACCUUCUUUCAAAAACAGAAAGGAGAGGGCGUGGGGUGGGCACAUGGGACCACCCUGAC
rnacentral:lncRNA from 1 species